rnacentral:lncRNA from 1 species
GUUUGAGGACUCUCUUCCGCCCUUGGUGACCCAUAUAAAGACCUGUAUCUCAAGAGGGCCAUUCCGUAGGAAUAGCGGAGGCAUCCGAGAGCUGAGAAACCUCCAAGCCGGCGGCACAUCCUCCCCUUGCCUUUGGAAGAGGUUGCCCUGGGGUUUCCAUAGUCUCUCCAUCAAAAUCGCCAAGCCCGAGGCAUCAGUUGCUCGGUGAAAGCUGUAAGAAAAGUUUGGAUGGAUGACUAAGCCUUUCUGGUUUGAAUUGGAAGAAAACAAGAUUUGUCCUCAAAGAAAUUCAAUAGCAGUACAGCAUUUGCCUUGCAUGUGUCAGUCCCUUGUUUCAAACUCUGGUACCAGAGUUUAGAUCUGGUUUUGAUAAAUAAAUAAAUAAAUAAAUAAACAACAAAAUAAAAAUUUCAACUCCAUAGGUAUUUAAAAGAAAAAUGAAAGCCUGUGUCCAUGUUCUUUACUUUGAUUGACAGUACUGAGAUGUUAAUGUCCUUAACGUUUUCUAAAAUCAUAGUAGACUCUUGGAACAGCAGAGCUUUUCAGGAGAGAUACCCUUCAAUGAGGGCAAAUAUACCAGCCAAGCCAAGGAGGUCGGACAGGAGUGAUCAUGUUGUGAGAAGAAGACUGCAUUUGAACUCAGGCUGAGAAAAUGGCUCAGUGACUAAAACCACUUCCACCUCAAGGCCUACAGCCUAAGUGUGGACCAGGAACCCACAUGUUACCACAGAACCAGCGCCAAAUGCUACCCUCUGACC